UCCAUCGUGAGGUGGAAUCUGAAGGAAGUCCUAGGCAAAGUCUCGGUCUGAGGGACAUGAACCACAUAUAAGGCUUGCUUGAGAGGGACGAGUUUGCUAGACAAAACAAAGUCCAACACUACCCGAAUCUCAAGGAGUAAAUAUGGCAGAUAUAUGAGAUGAAGGUUAUCGUC
rnacentral:ncRNA from 1 species